UGGGGAAUAUUGCACAAUGGGCGCAAGCCUGAUGCAGCCAUGCCGCGUGUGUGAAGAAGGCCCUCGGGUUGUAAAGCACUUUCAGCGGGGAGGAAGGCGAUAAGGUUAAUAACCUUGUCGAUUGACGUUACCCGCAGAAGAAGCACCGGCUAACUCCGUGCCAGCAGCCGCGGUAAUACGGAGGGUGCAAGCGUUAAUCGGAAUUACUGGGCGUAAAGCGCACGCAGGCGGUCUGUCAAGUCGGAUGUGAAAUCCCCGGGCUCAACCUGGGAACUGCAUGCGAAACUGGCAGGCUGGAGUCUUGUAGAGGGGGGUAGAAUUCCAGGUGUAGCGGUGAAAUGCGUAGAGAUCGGGAGGAAUACCGGUGGCGAAGGCGGCCCCCUGGACAAAGACUGACGCUCAGGUGCGAAAGCGUGGGGAGCAAACGGG
rnacentral:rRNA from 1 species